UCAGACAUAACAUCUUGCGCUGUUUUUCUGUUUUUUUAAUUUUUCUUCGGCAGACAGACGCAGCGUCUGAAAGUCACCGACUCAGCCUUUUAGCGAGCAGGUGCUGGCUGCUGACAGAUGGAGGCGGGACAUUUAAUAGUCGCCAGCUGGAAACAACGUCCUGUUUGAGCAGCAUGAUUGGCGGCGGUUUGUAAUCCCAAACAUUCAUGAGAUUGUUUUUUGUGGCCCUGACUACUGCUCACCUGCACAACAGGUUGGGUCACUGAGAGGUUACCUGUGUGAGGAAGCAGCCGCUGUGUGUGUGUGAUCAACUAAGCCUGCAGACUGAUUUGCCUGGGAAGGACACAGGAAGUCAGUAACAUCACCAAACUAUCGGCCUUAAGCACAACACAAACUCCACACAAGGACAAAAACUAACUAUGAUUUGGCCUUACACGGGCUUUAGAUAGAGCUAAAGCAGCAGCAAUGAUGUCAUAGCUUGAAGAAGGAGCAGGACUCCAUCAGCCAAGGAUGAGCUUCACCCUGUCACAGGUCCGACAGCUGCUCCUACAAAACCAUCCAGUCAGUCAUGUGACCAUCAAAGAGUCAGAA